GCUGCGGUUCAUGGGGUUGCAGAGUUGGACAUGACUGAGCGACUGAACUGGACUGAACUGAACCUGCAGAUUACGCAGUAAUAACAUAGCUUCUAUACUCACUCUUCUUGCAUAACCCCUGCUCCCAGUGAGGCUCCCUGUAAGGCAGUUAUUUAUCUUUGUAUUAGCAAGGAAUACUCUAAAUGCUCUUUUGUGGAAGACAUGGGCAAUUAAGUGGAAGGAAGUUGUCGUGUUUACAGCCCUCCAAUGACCAUCCAUCCUGAGUUAGCAUGGCCACCCAGAGCAGACUCAGGCCUGCCUGCCAGGGAGACAACCUUGGACCCGGAAGCAGAAGCACAAAAAAUAACUAGCAUUGUCUCAAAAUUGUAGAUUGAUUAAGUAGCUCUUAUUUUUAUUCUAUUUUCUCUUUCUAUAUAAGACAUCUCUUAUGGAAACUUUCUAAAAUAGUAAACUAUGGAAAUAAUUAUGAGUUUAAAUUGGUGCCUUUAUGAACUGGAAAACUUGUAGUGACAUCCUAGUAUUCUUACCAAGCUCUAGAUAGAGAAAGGAGAAGCUGUCUGAAUAUGUGGGUCCCCAUAAGGGUGCUAGAAGGUGCUGUACUCAGUCGUGUCUGACACUUGCAACCCCAGGGACUGUAGGCUCCUCUGUCCAUGAAAUAUUUCAGGCUAGAAUACUGGAGUGGGUUGCCAUCUGUGUACAAAUGCUGUAGCUCACUGGCCUUCAGACCAUUAGUGCCUCAAGUAUUGUGCACACAUCAUGCCCUGAGAUACCUUGGGGGAACAGACCUAGAAAUGGGGGAGAGUCCUUUCUCACUCCCACCUCACUUUUAUGUUCUAGAUUGGAUUUCCAUCAGCAUUUUCAUUGGAGAGAGGUCACCUGGCUUCCUUCUCUUUAACUACCUUCAUUCUCAUAGUGUAGGCUCCCCAGGUAGGCUCUGUCUGGGAUGGAGGAUGGAAAGUAGACAUUUAGUUAACAAUCUAGAUGGAGCAUGGUUGCUGAAGGGUGUGAAGGAAGGAAAAGAGGCUUCAUUCCUAGGAAGGAGAUUUAGAGGAACUUGUUGGGGCAUCAGAAUUCCCUGUUGA
rnacentral:lncRNA from 1 species